ACAUGCUCUGAGUCGCAAUUUUAAAAGAUCCCUCUAGCUGCAGCAUAAAUCCUGCAGCAGGCCCCUUUUCUCUUCAGCGUGUUUGAAAACACACUAAAACAGAACUGUAAUCAAGCAACCCAAUCCUGAAAUUUUUCUCUUAGUGAUGAUCUGGAAAACAGGUGCAGAAAUGGAUCAUUUGAGACACCGUAGAAAUCUGAGUAAUCCUGCCCGCCUGCGCGCCUU
rnacentral:lncRNA from 1 species